rnacentral:rRNA from 1 species
UACGGAGGGUGCAAGCGUUGCUCGGAAUUAUUGGGCGUAAAGGGUAGGUAGGUGGUCUCGUUUGUCUGGGGUGAAAGCCUUGAGCUUAACUCAAGAAGUGCCCCAGAAACGGCGAGACUAGAGUUCUGGAGAGGGUCGUGGAAUUCCCGGUGUAGCGGUGAAAUGCGUAGAGAUCGGGAGGAACACCAGAGGCGAAGGCGGCGACCUGGACAGAUACUGACGCUGAUGCACGAAAGCGUGGGGAGCAAACAGG